rnacentral:rRNA from 1 species
AUGAACGCUAGCUACAGGCUUAACACAUGCAAGUCGAGGGGCAGCAUGACCUAGCAAUAGGUUGAUGGCGACCGGCGCACGGGUGAGUAACACGUAUCCAACCUACCGGUUAUUCCGGGAUAGCCUUUCGAAAGAAAGAUUAAUACCGGAUAGUAUAACGAGAAGGCAUCUUUUUGUUAUUAAAGAAUUUCGAUAACCGAUGGGGAUGCGUUCCAUUAGUUUGUUGGCGGGGUAACGGCCCACCAAGACAUCGAUGGAUAGGGGUUCUGAGAGGAAGGUCCCCCACAUUGGAACUGAGACACGGUCCAAACUCCUACGGGAGGCAGCAGUGAGGAAUAUUGGUCAAUGGACGAGAGUCUGAACCAGCCAAGUAGCGUGAAGGAUGACUGCCCUAUGGGUUGUAAACUUCUUUUAUAUGGGAAUAAAGUGAGCCACGUGUGGCUUUUUGUAUGUACCAUACGAAUAAGGAUCGGCUAACUCCGUGCCAGCAGCCGCGGUAAUACGGAGGAUCCGAGCGUUAUCCGGAUUUAUUGGGUUUAAAGGGAGCGUAGGCGGACUAUUAAGUCAGCUGUGAAAGUUUGCGGCUCAACCGUAAAAUUGCAGUUGAUACUGGUCGUCUUGAGUGCAGUAGAGGUAGGCGGAAUUCGUGGUGUAGCGGUGAAAUGCUUAGAUAUCACGAAGAACUCCGAUUGCGAAGGCAGCUUACUGGACUGUAACUGACGCUGAUGCUCGAAAGUGUGGGUAUCAAACAGGAUUAGAUACCCUGGUAGUCCACACAGUAAACGAUGAAUACUCGCUGUUUGCGAUAUACGGCAAGCGGCCAAGCGAAAGCAUUAAGUAUUCCACCUGGGGAGUACGCCGGCAACGGUGAAACUCAAAGGAAUUGACGGGGGCCCGCACAAGCGGUGGAGCAUGUGGUUUAAUUCGAAGCAACGCGAAGAACCUUACCAGGUCUUGACAUACCAUGAAAAGCUUAGAGAUAAGUCUUUCCCUUCGGGGACAUGGAUACAGGUGGUGCAUGGUUGUCGUCAGCUCGUGUCGUGAGAUGUUGGGUUAAGUCCCGCAACGAGCGCAACCCUUAUCCUUUGUUGCCAGCGGUCCGGCCGGGAACUCAAAGGAGACUGCCAGUGAUAAACUGGAGGAAGGUGGGGAUGACGUCAAAUCAGCACGGCCCUUACGUCCGGGGCUACACACGUGUUACAAUGGGGGGUACAGAAGGCAGCUACACAGCGAUGUGAUGCUAAUCCCAAAAGCCUCUCUCAGUUCGGAUUGGAGUCUGCAACCCGACUCCAUGAAGCUGGAUUCGCUAGUAAUCGCGCAUCAGCCACGGCGCGGUGAAUACGUUCCCGGGCCUUGUACACACCGCCCGUCAAGCCAUGAAAGCCGGGGGUACCUGAAGUCCGUAACCGCAAGGAGCGGCCUAGGGUAAAACUGGUAAUUGGGGCU